CAUAUCAAUAAGCGGAGGAAAAGAAAAUAACAAUGAUUUCCCUAGUAACGGCGAGUGAAGAGGAAAGAGCUCAAAGUUGGAACCUGUUUGGCCUAGCUAAACAGGAUUGUAAACUGUAGAAGUGUUUUCCAGGCAAUCCGAGUUAAUAAGUCCUUUGGAACAGGGCAUCAUAGAGGGUGAGAAUCCCGUCUUUGAUUCGAGAUAUUUUGUCUUUUGCGAUACACUUUCAAAGAGUCAGGUUGUUUGGGAAUGCAGCCUAAAUUGGGUGGUAAAUCUCACCUAAAGCUAAAUAUUGGCGAGAAACCGAUAGCGAACAAGUACCGUGAGGGAAAGAUGAAAAGAACUUUGAAAAGAGAGUUAAACAGUAUGUGAAAUUGUUAAAAGGGAACCGUUUGGAGCCAGACUGGCUUGUCUGUAAUCAAUCUAGGUUUCGUGCCUGGAUGCACUUGCAGACUAUUUGCCUGCCAACGACAAUUUUUUUUGAGUGUAAAAACUAUUGGAAAUGUGGCCAAUAUUUAUUUAUUGGUGUUAUAGUCCUUUAGAAAAUACCUUGAAUUGGAUUGAGGAACGCAGCGAAUGCUUCUCUUUUGAGGCAAAGUCUUUUAUUGGGAUUUACGGAUCAGACUGUGGCAUUGUCACAAGACUUGAAGUUUAAACCUAUUUUCGCUCAAUCUCUCAGAGG
rnacentral:rRNA from 1 species